GUUAUUGGAGGAAAGCAGGGGAUCGCAAGACCUUGCGCUUUUGGAGUGGCCGAUGCCUGAUUAGCUAGUUGGUGGGGUAAUGGCCUACCAAGGCGACGAUCAGUAGUUGGUCUGAGAGGACGACCAGCCACACUGGGACUGAGACACGGCCCAGACUCCUACGGGAGGCAGCAGUGGGGAAUUUUGGACAAUGGGCGAAAGCCUGAUCCAGCAAUGCCGCGUGAGUGAAGAAGGCCUUCGGGUUGUAAAGCUCUUUCAGUCGAGAAGAAAAAAUUGCGACUAAUAAUCGCAAUUCAUGACGGUAUCGACAGAAGAAGCACCGGCUAACUACGUGCCAGCAGCCGCGGUAAUACGUAGGGCGCUAAGCGUUAAUCGGAAUUACUGGGCGUAAAGGGUGCGCAGGCGGCCUUGUAAGUCAGAUGUGA
rnacentral:rRNA from 1 species